UCGAGUUAGGGUCUCUUACAAACGAGCCCGACCUCCAACCCCUUGCUUAUCUGACCCAUUGUUGCUUCGGCAGGCCCGCCCUCCUGGGCCGCCGGGGGACCUGUUGUGCCCCUGGCCCGUGCCUGCCGACGGCCCAAUUCCAACACUCUUGUUAACAAACAUGUUGUCUGAGUUUACAAAACAAAAUUAAAUUA
rnacentral:misc_RNA from 1 species